rnacentral:sRNA from 1 species
AUUUCCCUCCAGCCCUGCUCCUUUUCAACAUGCCAGGCUGCUUGGCUGGGUUAUCUUUAAUCACUUUGUUUACCAUUGGAGUGAUGGGAUUUUCUUGGCCUUGUGAAGUACAGGGAGCCUCAGGAUAGCUUCACUGGGGGUGUCAUUACAUGGUCAUUAUCAGUGAGACACAACCGUUUCAGAUGGACAGUGACAAGGACAAUAGAAAGGCCAGGACACCACGGAAGUUCUGAAGAGGUAGUGGGAACUGAUUGAUCUGGAGCCAGAAGGAAGAGUGUAUGUGAUCAUCGAUCUCUCAGGGUCGUCGGGUGAAGCCCCUAAAGACAAUGAAGAGCGUGUGUUCAGGGAACGCAUGCGGCCGAGGAAGCGGCAGGGGGCCGUCAGGCGCAGGGUCCAUCAGGUCAACGGCCACAAGUUCAUGGCCACCUAUCUUCGGCAGCCCACCUACUGCUCCCAUUGCAGAGACUUCAUCUGGGGUGUCAUAGGAAAGCAGGGAUACCAGUGUCAAGUUUGCACCUGUGUGGUCCACAAGCGAUGCCACGAGCUCAUAAUCACGAAGUGUGCUGGGUU